CAGCAGCCGCGGGAAAACGGAGGGUGCAAGCGUUAAUCGGAAUUACUGGGCGUAAAGCGCACGCAGGCGGUCUGUCAAGUCAGAUGUGAAAUCCCCGGGCUUAACCUGGGAACUGCAUUUGAAACUGGCAGGCUAGAGUCUUGUAGAGGGGGGUAGAAUUCCAGGUGUAGCGGUGAAAUGCGUAGAGAUCUGGAGGAAUACCGGUGGCGAAGGCGGCCCCCUGGACAAAGACUGACGCUCAGGUGCGAAAGCGUGGGGAGCAAACAGGAUUAGAUACCCCGGUAGUCCUGUCUCUUAUACA
rnacentral:rRNA from 1 species